AGCGAACGCUAGCGGCAGGCCUAACACAUGCAAGUCGAACGAACUCUUCGGAGUUAGUGGCGGACGGGUGAGUAACACGUGGGAACGUGCCUUUUGGUUCGGAAUAACUCAGGGAAACUUGUGCUAAUACCGAAUGUGCCCUUCGGGGGAAAGAUUUAUCGCCAUUAGAGCGGCCCGCGUCUGAUUAGCUAGUUGGUGAGGUAACGGCUCACCAAGGCGACGAUCAGUAGCUGGUCUGAGAGGAUGACCAGCCACACUGGGACUGAGACACGGCCCAGACUCCUACGGGAGGCAGCAGUGGGGAAUCUUGCGCAAUGGGCGAAAGCCUGACGCAGCCAUGCCGCGUGAAUGAUGAAGGUCUUAGGAUUGUAAAAUUCUUUCACCGGGGACGAUAAUGACGGUACCCGGAGAAGAAGCCCCGGCUAACUUCGUG
rnacentral:rRNA from 1 species